rnacentral:rRNA from 1 species
CCUACGGGAGGCAGCAGUGAGGAAUAUUGGUCAAUGGGCUUACGCCUGAACCAGCCAAGUCGCGUGAGGGAAGACUGCCCUAUGGGUUGUAAACCUCUUUUGUCAGGGAGCAACGCCGGCUACGUGUAGCCGGCCUCAGAGUCCCUGAAGAAAAGGCCUCGGCUAACUCCGUGCCAGCAGCCGCGGUAAUCAGGAGGCUGCGAGCGUUAUCCGGAUUUUUUGGGUUUAAAGGGUGCGUAGGCGGCAUGCCAAGUCAGCGGUAAAAUCGCGGGGCUCAACCUCGCGCCGCCGUUGAAACUGGCGUUCUUGAGUGGGCGAGAGGUAGGCGGAAUGCGUGGUGUAGCGGUGAAAUGCAUAGAUAUCACGCAGAACUCCGAUUGCGAAGGCAGCAUACCGGCGUCCAACUGACGCUGAAGCACGAAGGCGUGGGUAUCGAACAGGAUUAGAUACCCUGGUAGUC